rnacentral:rRNA from 1 species
AUUGAACGCUGGCGGCAGGCCUAACACAUGCAAGUCGAGCGGAUGAAGGGAGCUUGCUCCUGGAUUCAGCGGCGGACGGGUGAGUAAUGCCUAGGAAUCUGCCUGGUAGUGGGGGAUAACGUCCGGAAACGGGCGCUAAUACCGCAUACGUCCUGAGGGAGAAAGUGGGGGAUCUUCGGACCUCACGCUAUCAGAUGAGCCUAGGUCGGAUUAGCUAGUUGGUGGGGUAAAGGCCUACCAAGGCGACGAUCCGUAACUGGUCUGAGAGGAUGAUCAGUCACACUGGAACUGAGACACGGUCCAGACUCCUACGGGAGGCAGCAGUGGGGAAUAUUGGACAAUGGGCGAAAGCCUGAUCCAGCCAUGCCGCGUGUGUGAAGAAGGUCUUCGGAUUGUAAAGCACUUUUAGUAGGGAGGAAGGGCAGUAAGUUAAUACCUUGCUGUUUUGACGGUACCAACAGAAUAAGCACCGGCUAACUUCGUG